CCUACGGGAGGCAGCAGUGGGGAAUAUUGGACAAUGGGGGGAACCCUGAUCCAGCGACGCCGCGUGAGUGAAGAAGUAUUUCGGUAUGUAAAGCUCUAUCAGCAGGGAAGAAAGAAAUGACGGUACCUGACUAAGAAGCCCCGGCUAACUACGUGCCAGCAGCCGCGGUAAUACGUAGGGGGCAAGCGUUAUCCGGAUUUACUGGGUGUAAAGGGAGCGUAGACGGCGAUGCAAGUCUGAAGUGAAAGGCGGGGGCCCAACCCCCGGACUGCUUUGGAAACUGUAUGGCUGGAGUGCAGGGGAGGUAAGGGGAAUUCCGAGUGUAGCGGUGAAAUGCGUAGAUAUUAGGAGGAACAGCAGUGGCGAAGGCGGCUUACUGGACUGUAACUGACGUUGAGGCUCGAAAGCGUUGGGAGCAAACAGGAUUAGAUACCCUUGUAGUC
rnacentral:rRNA from 1 species